rnacentral:rRNA from 1 species
UGGGGAAUAUUGGACAAUGGGGGAAACCCUGAUCCAGCGACGCCGCGUGUGUGAAGAAGGCCUGCGGGUUGUAAAGCACUUUUAGUGGGGACAAAAAGCCAGGGGCUAACACCAUCUGGUCUUGAUUUAACCCACAGAAAAAGCACCGGCUAACUCUGUGCCAGCAGCCGCGGUAAUACAGAGGGUGCAAGCGUUAAUCGGAAUUACUGGGCGUAAAGCGCGCGUAGACGGUUUUGUAAGUCAGAUGUGAAAUCCCCGGGCUCAACCUGGGAACUGCAUUUGAUACUGCUUGGCUAGAGUACGGUAGAGGGAAGUGGAAUUUCCGGUGUAGCGGUGAAAUGCGUAGAUAUCGGAAGGAACACCAGUGGCGAAAGCGACUUCCUGGACCAGUACUGACGUUCAUGUGCGAAAGCGUGGGGAGCAAACA